rnacentral:rRNA from 1 species
UACGUAGGGGACGAGCGUUGUCCGGAAUUACUGGGCGUAAAGGGCGCGCAGGCGGUAUAUCAAGUCAGCUGUCAAAGACUGGGGCUCAACCCUGGUAUGCGGUUGAAACUGAUAUGCUGGAGUGCUGUAGAGGCAAGUGGAAUUCCCAGUGUAGCGGUGAAAUGCGUAGAUAUUGGGAAGAACACCGGUGGCGAAGGCGACUUGCUGGGCAGCAACUGACGCUGAGGCGCGAAAGCCAGGGGAGCAAACGGGAUUAGA